UUCUAUGAUCCCUCGGUGUGAGCGGUGGUUGUUGACGUUAUAACCGAGGCAAGAUCGCUGCUGGAUUGACUAGUGAUUGGUUCUAGUGGUGGCACGCUGGAAAGAAGAAGAAGAAGAGAAAAUUAAUUAAAAUUGAUAAUUUGCGCGUCGUAGUAAGGUGAUAGAAUCAACGCUGAACAUGGUGGCGGAGUCUAAGGCGCGAGUCGCGACGUAACUGGAAGUCAGACGUGAGUGGUCCCGGAUCAAACGGGUCAGGCGCUCCGGAUUCGCAGAGAUCAGAGGUCAGAGAUCACAGAUCAGAAGUGAGUCAGGUGUGAACUUACGUAAGGGUGGUUUGGCGAUUCAACACGGCGGCGGUAGGUAAUGCGAGGGGCGAGUGUGCAUGCCCUAAUUGUGUUCCAGACGGUGUACCUACAGGAAGACAAUGCUCUUCGACCCCUCCACCACCCCCACCCCCGCAAGCAUACACGUUCAACUGCAACGAGUCCACUGGAACGUCAACAAAAAAAGGGCGACAUCGGUCACGAUUACUCUGAGCCGCAAUACCGUAUGCUGAUUAUAUGUGUGUGUGUGUUUUGUGUAUGCUGCCGGUGCACCCUUAACUUCUCUUUAAUAUAUGCGCGCGAUUUAAUUGACAAUAUCGGCAACUCUCUAAAUUUCUUGGGGUGAGAUUUCACUCAAAAAGUGGAGUGAUCACCGAGUCACUCGAAUCCGAGUGAUUGUUCACUCUAAAUCGUCGAGUGAACAUCUUCACUCGAAAUUGGAGAGUAUAUUCCAUUGUCACAGGCGCAUAGAUCUGUAUUAAUAGUUGUUACUUGAAAAUGGUUUCAAAUAGGAUAUUCAGAUUUGAGCUUAAAGUUAGAUAAGUGUUUCUCAAUUGAACUGCGAUCACACAUACAUAGAAUGAUACAUGUGACACAAAGAACAUGUAUACAUAUAUUGAAUAUACGCGUAUAUUCUAUAUCUUGAAAAUUUAAAUAUUCGCGUUUGAAGACCCAAACAAUAAGAAUGUCCAUGAUUAGACACGUGUCCAGGUAUUGAUACUUUUACCUCCGAAUCGCGAAGCUUUUCGAUUGUACGCGAACAUCAUACCGUUAUCUUGACGAACAUUCAUGCUGCGCGGUCUGUCGACCCCCGAUCGGGCCUCGCGAUCUUUAUUUUGCAUUUCGAAGUGUCCCAAGAUCUCAGGCGCGAUUCCCCAGGGAGAUAAAACGCGACCAAGCGUGCUCGAGUGCGGGGAAAUUCGUGAAUCGCUUCGUCAUCCUCGACGUUGCGCGUGUCCGGCGACAAGCGCGGAGGGAUAUUAUAUCGACCACGUAGUUGCCGGAGGUAGCUCCGUUCGCGUUCCACCGUCCUCUCCUCGCGUGUCUCCCCUUGAUGCGGCUGUUCUCGGGUUAAACCCCGCCGAGGAGAAGUAUCCGUCGCUCGCUAUCGGAGCACAUCCCACGCUUCUGACCAAUCCGAGGCACUAUCGGCCGUCGUGUGUACUCUCGUCGGACCUUCCCUGAACCCCCCUUCGUGCUGCCGCAUGUAGCGAGCGAUCGUGUGUACUUAGUCGGCCAUCGCGAUUGACAACGACCGACCGACCGACCGUCCGUCCGUUCGACCGACCAGACGAGGGACGGGGAUUAGUGGCCCCGGCGAUUGCGGUUGUUCGAAGGACGAUAUGUGUGCCGUGCAAACCACCGUCGCUUAUUAUUAUAUAUACAUAUCGAUGAUAAUAGCCGGUGAGGGCGAUUUAGGAUGCGCCUGUUUGAAUUGCCGAUUUUAGCCGGUAGCGUUCUGAAUUGCUUCAUUCGCGAAAAACUCGUGAGAAUCCUGCUUGUGUGAUUUCCCUUUUUCUCUUUCUGUCGCGCGCGCUGCAUUUUCUCGAGUGCGUGACCUCCCCCUCCCUCCCCCGCGGCCUGUAGGUACACCUAAUCGAAUUAACUAAACGUCUAAGUUAACCCGGGAGUAGACGCGCCCUCGAUCAUUUUCCCGCGUUCAUUCGUUUUUCUAAUCACAUCUAUCAAUUUGUUGAUUACCAUUUCAUACUUUAUCUUUCACAUGACUUUCUCUCAAUGUUCUUCUCUUGCAUAGCACGAAAAGAGUAGAACCUAACCUGUUUGUAUUGCCCUGUGAACGUGUGUACUUUUGCACGAACACAUAUCUGACACACACGUCGGAAUUUUAAUUUUAUAAACAUUAUUUACUUGUAUAAAUUUUAACAUGCACACGUAAUCCUUAUUAUUGCGUUUUGCUAAUAUAUUUUAUCAGUAAAUUUGUAUUCGCCUGAUGAAAGUAAACGUUUAAAAGAGGAGCGUGGAGAAGCAAAGAAGCGAUAUUAAUCAAAUAUAUAAUAAAAUCCUUUCUGUGGAUCCAUUGUGACACUCUAAA